rnacentral:rRNA from 1 species
UACGGGGGGGGCAAGCGUUGUUCGGAAUUACUGGGCGUAAAGGGCGCGUAGGCGGCCUUCUAAGUCGGACGUGAAAUCCCUAGGCUCAACCUAGGAACUGCGUCUGAUACUGGAUGGCUUGAAUCCGGGAGAGGGAUGCAGAAUUCCAGGUGUAGCGGUGAAAUGCGUAGAUAUCUGGAGGAAUACCGGUGGCGAAGGCGGCAUCCUGGACCGGCAUUGACGCUGAGGAGCGAAAGCCAGGGGAGCAAACGGG